CUUUUUUUAUCAGAGCAGCAUGCACGUGAACACGUGUAUUAUACGCAUGAGCUCGUCGCACGUGAAGAGAACCGCUCACUAGCAUCAACACCAUCUCAGCAAAGCGAAGUUUCAGCGAGAGGCGCCGACACCUGGGCACAUGACGCGACAACCAGACUCAUAGCGGCAUGCAAGCCGCAGGUUGAAAAGGAGGGCGCCAUCCCGAAAUCAUUUUGGAGGUCUCUUCUGCUCUUCAAAGAGAUGGAUACAUCCACACAGGAGUGCAGUGCUUCAACAAGUGGAAAAACUUGAAAAAACACUACAAAGAAGUGAAAGACCACAACGCUCAAAGUGGAAACAGCAGGCAAGUUUGUACCUUGAAACGGAGGUCAUAUACCGGUAAAAAUUAACACUCAGGUGCACCCGUUUCUCCCUGCAAGAAAUCGUGGGAAUUCCUAGAUGUUAUGGACGAAGUGUUUCAUAAAAAGCCAGAAAUUCUCCCACCAGCCAUUGCAAGUACGUCAUCAGGACUCGUCGUAAAUAGGGAACGUGAAGUAACUGAAGACGCAUGCAGACCACCUACCAAGAAGUCCAAACGAAACAGUUUCGAUGAAGAAAGAAUGGCACUUCUGGAACGAAGGGUUCAUGCGAUGGAAGACUUUAACAAGUUGUUUAAGCAGUAGCUAGAGGAGAGGUUUUGAUGGGAGCUUCGUUGAUACAAUGUUGUUGAAGAAUGUGCAAAAACACGGCACACACAGCACAGUGAGGACUUGUUUGCAAUGCAGACCCUGCAUUGCAAAAAUGAUUUCAUUUUACACUAAAGGGGGCCAGUCUGCCUCACUCACAUGCGCAUUACAAUUGUUUGUAAGCUAUAACCUGCAGGUGAUGCAGUUUCUGUGUGUUUUCUUGUGGGAAUCCGAACCAAAUGUACAAUAAAAGCAUGGCAGUGUC